UUAAGCUGCGGCUUGACGGGAGCCGCGCCUCCUGUCGGUGGAGUCGGUUAUAAAGGGAGCAGCCCCCCAGGCCGCCACACAGCUCCCGCCAAGUCCUCGGUGUCCCUUGCCAUUUUCCAGCCGCGCUCCCACGAGGGUCAUGGCGGCGGGGAGAGGUGGAGCCGCGAGAGCUCGGCCGGGGGCCCCGCCGGGUGGUCGCGGCCAUGACAGCGGCUCGGGACCGGUUCCUUUUCCGCGCCCCUCCCGCCUGAGAUGAGGGGAAGAUGUCCCUGUCAGCGUUCAAGGCCAAACUGAAGUUGCCGGCCUCUAUCUUCCACGAGAACCAGGAGCCACAGCCGCGGCUCACGCUGCACCGCAACAUCAAGAUUACAAGUGGACACCUGAGUCAGCAGGACCUGGAAUCCCAGAUGAGAGAGAGCUUAUCUACAUGGACUCAGAUCUUGUUGUCACCCCCAUUAACGACAAUCCAAAGGUAACGAAAAAACCACCAUCAGUUAAAUUUGAUCCAAAAAUAUUGCAUCUACCAGCAUUUUCAGACGGGCCAACGUUGCUUGGGUGAUUGGUUUACUGGCUUCUCACACAACUGAGCUCCAGGAAAAUACACCUGUUGUUGAGGCUGGAGUGCAAUGGUGUGAUCUCAGCUCACUGCAACCUCUGCCUCUUGGGUUCAAGCGAUUUUCUUGCCUCAGCCUCCCCAGUAGCUGGGAUUACAGGCAUAACUAAAGGUGGAAGGAUAGAAUCACAGUGUGUUACUGGCACAGGUGCAUCGGCUAGUGAAGAAAGAAGACAUUCAAAAUGUAUGUAUUGGGUGGAGGAGCAUUAUGUAUUGAACUUCUCACAGAACAGGGCUGAAGCAGUGCCUACUCGACAGAACCAGUCAUCAUGCAAAGAAAAGCCACCUGACUCAAAGGCAAAGCCAGAGUGCAGCUUGGAGGAAAGAAGGAGAAACUAACAAUGAAAAUGGACUUGUUGACAGAAGAAAAGUAGGAAUGCAGCCUCUGGUGCUGUUUGAGUGAUCCCUCUGCCCCAGGCCUGGCUGUGUGCUGCUGUGUUCUGGUAAGGUGCAUUGUAACCUUUCUGCGGCAGGUAAGAGUCCUGUACAGGUGCUCUGCCCACUUUACCUUUCAGGCUUCUGUAUCAGCUGUUUUUCCCUUGUAGAAUGUGCCUCUGACCUGUGCCCCUGACUUCCACCCCUUAACCCUACCCAAAACAUCUUUACAUGUCUGACCAUCAAGCCUCUUCUGGGUCAUAUUCAGUUCAUGCUGAUAUUUUCCCUUCCUCCCUUCUUUAGUCCUUACUGUUUUUGCUUUGGUCAUGUUAUGCUAUAUUCCGUAAGCCU